GGCGUGCCUAAUACAUGCAAGUCGAGCGAGCGGAACUAACAGAUUUACUCGGUAAUGACGUUAGGAAAGCGAGCGGCGGAUGGGUGAGUAACACGUGGGGAACCUGCCCCAUAGUCUGGGAUACCACUUGGAAACAGGUGCUAAUACCGGAUAAGAAAGCAGAUCGCAUGAUCAGCUUUUAAAAGGCGGCGUAAGCUGUCGCUAUGGGAUGGCCCCGCGGUGCAUUAGCUAGUUGGUAAGGUAAAGGCUUACCAAGGCGAUGAUGCAUAGCCGAGUUGAGAGACUGAUCGGCCACAUUGGGACUGAGACACGGCCCAAACUCCUACGGGAGGCAGCAGUAGGGAAUCUUCCACAAUGGACGCAAGUCUGAUGGAGCAACGCCGCGUGAGUGAAGAAGGUUUUCGGAUCGUAAAAGCUCUGUUGUUGGUGAAGAAGGAUAGAGGUAGUAACUGGCCUUUAUUUGACGGUAAUCAACCAGAAAGUCACGGCUAACUACGUGCC
rnacentral:rRNA from 1 species